rnacentral:rRNA from 1 species
UACGUAGGGGGCGAGCGUUGUCCGGAAUCAUUGGGCGUAAAGCGCGUGUAGGCGGCCCGGUAAGUCCGCUGUGAAAGUCCAGGGCUCAACCCUGGGAUGCCGGUGGAUACUGUCGGGCUCGAGUCCGGAAGAGGCGAGUGGAAUUCCUGGUGUAGCGGCGAAAUGCGCAGAUAUCAGGAGGAAUACCAAUGGCGAAGGCAGCUCGCUGGGACGUGACUGACGCUGAGACGCGAAAGCGUGGGGAGCGAACAGG